GUGUCUGGUGGGUAGUUUGACUGGGGCGGUCUCCUCCUAAAGAGUAACGGAGGAGCACGAAGGUUGGCUAAUCCUGGUCGGACAUCAGGAGGUUAGUGCAAUGGCAUAAGCCAGCUUGACUGCGAGCGUGACGGCGCGAGCAGGUGCGAAAGCAGGUCAUAGUGAUCCGGUGGUUCUGAAUGGAAGGGCCAUCGCUCAACGGAUAAAAGGUACUCCGGGGAUAACAGGCUGAUACCGCCCAAGAGUUCAUAUCGACGGCGGUGUUUGGCACCUCGAUGUCGGCUCAUCACAUCCUGGGGCUGAAGUAGGUCCCAAGGGUAUGGCUGUUCGCCAUUUAAAGUGGUACGCGAGCUGGGUUUAGAACGUCGUGAGACAGUUCGGUCCCUAUCUGCCGUGGGCGCUGGAGAACUGAGGGGGGCUGCUCCUAGUACGAGAGGACCGGAGUGGACGCAUCACUGGUGUUCGGGUUGUCAUGCCAAUGGCACUGCCCGGUAGCUAAAUGCGGAAGAGAUAAGUGCUGAAAGCAUCUAAGCACGAAACUUGCCCCGAGAUGAGUUCUCCCUGACUCCUUGAGAGUCCUGAAGGAACGUUGAA
rnacentral:rRNA from 1 species